UGGGGAAUAUUGGACAAUGGGCGAAAGCCUGAUCCAGCCAUGCCGCGUGUGUGAAGAAGGUCUUCGGAUUGUAAAGCACUUUAAGUUGGGAGGAAGGGCAGUAAGCGAAUACCUUGCUGUUUUGACGUUACCGACAGAAUAAGCACCGGCUAACUCUGUGCCAGCAGCCGCGGUAAUACAGAGGGUGCGAGCGUUAAUCGGAUUUACUGGGCGUAAAGCGUGCGUAGGCGGCUAAUUGAGUCGGAGGUGAAAUCCCCGAGCUUAACUUGGGAAUUGCAUUCGAUACUGGUUAGCUAGAGUGUGGGAGAGGAUGGUAGAAUUCCAGGUGUAGCGGUGAAAUGCGUAGAGAUCUGGAGGAAUACCGAUGGCGAAGGCAGCCAUCUGGCCUAACACUGACGCUGAGGUACGAAAGCAUGGGGAGCAAACAGG
rnacentral:rRNA from 1 species